AUUGAACGCUGGCGGCAUGCCUUACACAUGCAAGUCGAACGGCAGCACGGGUGCUUGCACCUGGUGGCGAGUGGCGAACGGGUGAGUAAUACAUCGGAACGUACCUUAUCGUGGGGGAUAACGCAGCGAAAGCUGUGCUAAUACCGCAUACGCCCUGAGGGGGAAAGCGGGGGAUCGAAAGACCUCGCGCGAUUAGAGCGGCCGAUGCCUGAUUAGCUUGUUGGUGGGGUAAAAGCCCACCAAGGCGACGAUCAGUAGCUGGUCUGAGAGGACGAUCAGCCACACGGGGACUGAGACACGGCCCAGACUCCUACGGGAGGCAGCAGUGGGGAAUUUUGGACAAUGGGGGCAACCCUGAUCCAGCAAUGCCGCGUGAGUGAAGAAGGCCUUCGGGUUGUAAAGCUCUUUUGUCAGGGAAGAAACACCGGCUCUAACACAGUCCGGGAAUGACGGUACCUGAAGAAUAGGCACCGGCUAACUACGUGCCAGCCGCCGCGGUAA
rnacentral:rRNA from 1 species